CAAUAGCGUAUAUUAAAGUUGUUGCGGUAAAAAAGCUCGUAGUUGGAUUUCUACCGAAGAUAGCCGGUCGGGUCUUCGACCUUGUAUCUGGUUUUGUCUUUGGUAUCCUCAUAGGGAACGUUUCUGCGCUUUAUUGCGUGGUGCGGUAUCUGUGACUUUUACUUUGAGGAAAUUAGAGUGUUCACGGCAGGCAAACGCCUUGAAUAUAUUAGCAUGGAAUAAUAACAUAGGAUCUUCGUCCUAUUUUGUUGGUUUCUAGGGCUAAGAUAAUGAUUAAUAGGGAUAAUUGGGGGCAUCUGUAUCAACGCGUCAGAGGUGGAAUUCUUGGAUUGCGUUGCGACAAACUACUGCGAAAGCAUUUGCCAAGGAUGUUUUCAUUGA
rnacentral:rRNA from 1 species